CUGCGCUGUAACCAUAGCAACAGCGGAGCUCGAGAGCGUUCUAUUUGGAUUCGUAAUCUGUUGGUACGUCCACAGAAACAAAGAAGCAGAUUGUCCGCUAUCAGCGGUGAUGGUGCGCGGAGGAAGAAUGCGAGCAUACAGCGAAGUCAAACAAAAGUUCCUCAGAUGACAAUUCCUGAAACAGAAUAGGAUGGACUUGCUAAAACCGAAUCCCGCACUCAUCCUGCAUCGGGUUAUCCAGACAGGCUCAAUCUAUUCAGAUCACAUGAUGCUUCAUUUCAAUAUAGGUCAUUCAUGUGAAGUCGCAGACUGGGGUUUCUCCUUAGGAGCAGACAAUAGUGUUGCAGCAGGAAACACAUAUCUCCCUCGAGAGCUUCACGGCAUGCUCCCUCACCCUGAUGUAGCGCCACACACAAGAAAAUAAAAAAAUGGAGCA
ensembl:lncRNA